GGGGGGGGGUUCCUUAAUACAUGCAAGUCGAGCGGACAGAAGGGAGCUUGCUCCCGGAUGUUAGCGGCGGACGGGUGAGUAACACGUGGGUAACCUGCCUGUAAGACUGGGAUAACUCCGGGAAACCGGAGCUAAUACCGGAUAGUUCCUUGAACCGCAUGGUUCAAGGAUGAAAGACGGUUUCGGCUGUCACUUACAGAUGGACCCGCGGCGCAUUAGCUAGUUGGUGAGGUAACGGCUCACCAAGGCGACGAUGCGUAGCCGACCUGAGAGGGUGAUCGGCCACACUGGGACUGAGACACGGCCCAGACUCCUACGGGAGGCAGCAGUAGGGAAUCUUCCGCAAUGGACGAAAGUCUGACGGAGCAACGCCGCGUGAGUGAUGAAGGUUUUCGGAUCGUAAAGCUCUGUUGUUAGGGAAGAACAAGUGCAAGAGUAACUGCUUGCACCUUGACGGUACCUAACCAGAAAGCCACGGCUAACUACGUGCCAGCAGCCGCGGUAAUACGUAGGUGGCAAGCGUUGUCCGGAAUUAUUGGGCGUAAAGGGCUCGCAGGCGGUUUCUUAAGUCUGAUGUGAAAGCCCCCGGCUCAACCGGGGAGGGUCAUUGGAAACUGGGAAACUUGAGUGCAGAAGAGGAGAGUGGAAUUCCACGUGUAGCGGUGAAAUGCGUAGAGAUGUGGAGGAACACCAGUGGCGAAGGCGACUCUCUGGUCUGUAACUGACGCUGAGGAGCGAAAAGCGUGGGGAGCGAACAGGAUUAGAUACCCUGGUAGUCCACGCCGUAAAACCAUGAGUGCUAUGUGUUAGGGGGGUUUCCGCCCCUUAAUGCUGCAGCUAACGCAUUGACCAC
rnacentral:rRNA from 1 species